UUAAAGGCUUUGAACAGGAGUAGUAAUAUUUAUUCUAUAUAAAGAGAACUGUUGGCUGGUGAAAAACAGUAUAGUAAAAUAUGAACUUGCCUGGGAGCUUGUCUAUUAGAAAUAGACACGGAUAAAACCGUUAUUUUUAUAAGAGAAAUCUAUUAAUUCAUAGGUUUAAUUAGAGUGGUACCGCGGAUAACCUUUCGUCUCUAUA
rnacentral:ncRNA from 1 species